GACGUAGGGAGCAAGCGUUGCCCGGAAUUACUGGGCGUAAAGAGCUCGUAGGCGGGGGCGUGCGUCCGAAAGGAAAUUUCAAGGCUUAACCUUGGGGCUUUUUCGGAUACGGCGCUUCUUGAGGGUGAGAGAGGAAAGUGGAAUUCCAGGUGUAGCGGUGAAAUGCGUAGAUAUCUGGAGGAACACCAGCGGCGAAGGCGACUUUCUGGCUCAUUCCUGACGCUGAGGAGCGAAAGCGUGGGUAGCGAACGGG
rnacentral:rRNA from 1 species